rnacentral:lncRNA from 1 species
CCCACUGUGUGAACAGUUUGUAGGAGGAGGGAGUUCGCUCUGUCUUUCGGUGUCUUCUAGACUGAAGCCCACUGUGUCCAGGGCAAGCUCCCCGACCAACUCUGACUCUUGCUGUUUCCAAGGUCCCAGCUUCUUGUUUUCCAGAUGCUAUUUGCAGACCACGCAGUGACCCAUUCGUCCUUGUACUGCUGGGUUAGGGUCUCCCUGACCUAGCUGGUCUCAGCAAGUGGCGUCCAUCGUGGGGACUCAAAUCCAGGUCGAAGGGUUGCCAGAACAAUGGUUGGAGUGGAAAACUAGCUGGAGGACACUCGAGUACUCUUAAAGCAAUCCCUGUGGCCAAAAUCAACAGCCGAUUUGGAUACCAUCAAGACACCUGAAACCUUAUCAUGAGCCAGAUGCAGAGGAAGAGAUUCCAGGAGGAUCCCGAGGACCCCCGGUUGCAGCCAUGUCAAGACUGACGCUGCGGAGGACCCCAACUGUCACGAGCAACACCCAUCGAACACAGCCACCCACCUGGGGACAGAACAGGAAGCUGUCACAGAUGGCGGAAGAAAACCUGAGGAAAGCGGGACAACCAGUCACAAUGAAUAAUUUAAUGAUAGCUCUGAUAGCGGUUAUCACCACCGCCUCUGCAGAUGUGGAUCCUGACUCCUGCAAGAAGUAGCUCACCGUGACAAAGCUGCCUUUGCUUUUAUCGAUUUGCAAAUCAGAGAAGGGGGACAUAUUGGGAGCAGGCCCCCCAAAAUCUGGCCAUAAACUGGCCCCAAAACUGGACUGGCCAUAAACUGGCCCCAAAACUGGACUGGCCAUAAACAAAAUCUCUGCAGCACUGUAACAUGUUCAUAAUGGCCCCUAAUGCCCAGGCUGGAAGGUUGUGGGUUUACAGGGAUGAGGGCGAGGAACACCUGGCCCACCCAGGGUGGAAAACCGCUUAAAGGCAUUCUUAAGCCAAACAAUAGCAUGAGUGAUCUGUGACUUAAGGACAUGCUCCUGCUGCAGUUAACUAGCCCAACCUAUUCCUUUAAUUCGGUCCAUCCCUUCGUUUCCCGUAAGGGAUACUUUUAGUUAAUUUAACAUCUAUAGAAACAAUGCUGAUGACUGGUUUGCUGUUAAUAAACACGUGGGUAAAUCUCUGUUCGGGCCUCUCAGCUCUGAAGGCUGUGAAACCCCUGAUUUCCCACUUCCCACGUCUA